AAGGAAAGGGAAAGGGAUGGAGAGAGAGAAAGAGAGGGGGAGGGAGGGAGACAGAGAGAGAGGGAGACAGAGAGAGAGGAGAAGAGGGAGAGAGUAGAGACAGAGAGAGAAAGAGAGAGAGAGAGAGAGAGAGAGAGAGAGAGAGAGAGAGAGAGAGAGAGAGAGAGAGAGAGAGAGAGAGAGAGAGAGAAAGCCCUGCUUUAUUGAACUGAGAGCUUCUGAAUUCCAAGCAGAAAGUAUGAGAAGACACACAGCAAUACGUGUCUUCCCCUUGGCAGCUUGUGUAGAGCUUAGACAAUGAAAAACUAGAUUCCCUAUCUACCCCCACCACCACCACCUCCCGCGACAAGAUUUUUGUUUUCGUUCCUUCUGAACCGUGGAGGAUGUGCAAAACAAAUCAUUUUAAAACAAACAAAAACCAAACUGGGAUGAGGAUUACCCAUAUUAACACUGGCUGAGCGUGCUUAAAGAGAUCUAAGAUGCUCGAAGCAGGAGUGGUUGUAAACCCUAUUCGGUCCCCAGUCCCAUACUCCAUAAAUGUUGCUGCUGCCGUUACCACCGCUGCUGUCACUACUACUACUAUGUCUACUACCACUACAGGAUGGGGAAAGUCUCUGAACACCGAAAAUCUUGGAGACAGUCAUUUCCUCUGAGCCUGAAGGGACCCGCAGUGGACCAAGUGAAAAUAGCCGAACAUCCUCCUCCAUCAGCCUGAAGCGCAACUCCAGCUCCGCCUGUAGAGGUCAACUCACUCACACACCCCCUCCCUCCAUCCUAGAGCUCUUUCCUCCUGACUGUUGCCGCAGUCAGAGCAGGUGCGCACCCUGCAAGGCCGCCCUUCUUUGCACCAGCCUUAGACCCCUGAAGUGACGCCAGGACCUGAGGUCUAUUUAUGUGGGGAGUAGAUAAUCUUUACUAUCCUAAGCAUCUCUUUCUCCUCAACAUAACGGUAGCCAGCCCAGAUGGGCUAUCCAUAUUCUUUGGGGGAUAGGCAGGUGCGAUUAAGUUAAUUUUUUCGCAUUACAAAGAAAGGUGGCUCACCUCGGCCGUUUAUUCUCACUUCUCUUGAAAGUCUUCAACCAAAAAAGUCUAACUAACCCAGGAAAGGUGGCUGCAUGCAUUAUAUAUGUCCCUCCCACCCCAAUUUCUUUCUCUUCCUUCCUAGAUGUAAUAUCUAUUCCUUGGGAACAGCAAACAAGAUUGUUAGAAGCAUUUUGCAAGAGGUAUAGCAGUCAACAAAAGAUCGUCAUUCUUCAAUAGUAAUUUAGAAUUGAUUUAGUGUGAAAAGAUCAUUUAAUUACUAAUUCGUAGGAUAAUAUUUAGAAAUUAGAGUAGCUACGGAGGGUUAAUUGAGGCCCAUUGCAGUAGUCACCCGAAGUAAGCAGACAAGACUAUAUUCCUAUAUAUGUGUAUUAUUUGCUUAGAGAGAUACAUCGUAGACAAAUACGUAUACAUAUAUACAGUCUACAUUUUCCCUCAACAGACUAAUUAACAGUGAAACUAACAGAUGUGGUAACUAACAGAGGCGAGCUCUGACAAGAGCAGCGUUGGUGACUUACACUCUCUCGGGAACUGUGGGGAAUCCAGAACAAGGGUAUCCACUACUUUGAGGGGAGGGAAAGAUGAGAAGGAGAGGCAAACGAGUGUGUCAUUUCCUUUCCGGACAAAGAUCAGAGACUCUGUCUCUCCGUGUUCACAGCGGACCUUGAUUUAAUGUCAUACAAUUAAGGCACGCGGUGAAUGCCAAGAGCGGAGCCUGAAAGACUGCAUUUUGAAGGACACCAGCACAUCUUAUAGGCAGAGAGGAAAAAUUCAACCCGAACGAUGGACCCGCUCGCUUGGUGGGGGAAGAUCCACAAUCAAAACUUGAAACCCAGGUAGAGAUCAUGAGAUUUUUGACAUCUGUAUACCCGCAAAUCUUUCUUCGAGCUGUUAGAAAGAAGAACUUUCCGUGACAGCUGAUAGAAAAGCAAUAGAUGCAGGAUAUGAGAAUGUCCAGUCAGCUAUUAGCUAUUAGGAAAGAAUAUGGUCCCCACCCCACCCCGCCCCCGCUCCCCAAUAGCAUAGGAGUUGUGGUCGCUCCAGGAUCCAAGAUUGGGUAAGUAAGGCAAACAAAUAAAUAAAUUAACUGAUAAGAACCUGAAUAGUAGUCGCAAUCAAUGGAAGACUAAGUACUUAAUAACAUUCCUGGACUCCUUUAAAACGAAUUGAUCAAUGCUAGAGGCUCAGUGUAGGAUGAAACUUUCCCUGGUUCGAUUUCUUUGUAGAAUCGGCCUUACCUAACUUAAAAUCAAGAGGACCCUUCCUCCUUUUUUCCAGUCAAACGCAAAACCACCAGACCUCCAAAUUAAAUGGAAUGGGACAAACGAUUGGAAAAAAUGUAGGCCAGAAAGCUUAGAAGGACUCCGAAAAUUAAUUUAUUUGGAAGACAGGAGGAUUGUGAGAAGAUAGUAGUUCCGCACCAGGGCACUGGAGCCAAAGGAAAAUCCAGGGCUGAGAAUGGUAGACUUGAUAGAUGUCUUUGUUCAGUCUGGGCCUGUAGCGAACAAAGGAAAGGAGCAGAGAUGAUCUGCAAAGGUGACAGCAGUCUCCCCCUCCCCCAACACCCCCCUGAGCUGUCCGUGGUCCUGACCACAGUCCUUUUCUCUUUGGCUUGCAAUUAAAAGAACAAUCAGGCAGACCCUUUCUCUGGAGCAGGAGUUUGCCCCAGGACAUAACAAUAAAUUAGAUUAUUCAGGAAAUAAAGAUAAAAAAGAAGUCUGUAGUCCCACCUCGCCCCCCAGAUGCUAGCAUCGUAUUAAGGUGGCCAGACUAUACUUAACUGCCAUGAAACCCAUUAUUUAUAAAUACUUCCAUGAAAACAAUUUGUUGUCUUGGCAGUUUCUCAGUGUUAUCAGAAGAUAAUUUUAUCCUCCUCAAAUCCGUAUAUAUACAUAUCUGUGUAUACAUAUAUUUUAACCUAUAAAUAUUGAUUUUAAGAGGACAUAUGUAUAUAUGUAUGCGUAUAUUUAUAGAUAUGUUCAUAGACACAUGUGUGUAUUGUAUGUACACUGUGGUGCAGAACUACUACCUUCAGUCCAAUUCAGUACUUUACUGUGUCAGAAGAUUCCUGCCCCUCAUUAGGAAUUGAGAGAGGGGAAAAGAAGAAUAUGUAUAUUCGCAUAAAUGUAUAUAAAGAAUCUUUUAUAUAUACAUA